GAAAGAUUAGUUAAUUUAUAACCUAGGCUUGUCAUGCCUAAAUUGCUGUAAAGCAUCUUUCU
rnacentral:tRNA from 1 species